AAGAAAAAAGACAAGACAUGAAAGGACAUUAGUAGUGUGGGGGGGAGGGCCCCGCUGGCCUCCCUGGGGUGGGGGGCUGAGGAGCAGAGGCCAGAUGCUGAGGAGGAGCAGGAGCCACAUUCAAGGCCUCCUGCCGGCUGAGCCACGACUCCGCCCACCCCGGCUCCCAUCUCUUCCAGGCUCCUCUGGACCCUCCCUGCUGCCCAGCGCUGGGGACACCUUCCUCACCCUGCGGACUCUGGCCUCUCUCCAGCCUCCUCCUGGGGGAGGCUGCCUGCAGUCCCAGGCCCAGGGUAACUGGCAGGGGGCCACCCCCCCACCUGCAACUGCUUCACCUGCUGGAGACCCUGGCAGCAUCAACUCCAGUACGUCUAAUUAAGUUUUGGGCAUAAGCAGGAAAGAGCGCCGUGUGAGCUGCCGUGUAUCGCCAGCCGUUGCUUUGUUACUGAACGUGCCGCCGAUGACCUCAGAAAACCCAGAUGGGUGGUGGUGCCCGUGAGCUCCUGCUCCUCAUCCAGGCCCGUGGCGCCGGCUCAUGUGUCUGCUGGGACUCAAGAUGGCCUGAAACCUGAAACGCCACUCAUUCUCCCACCUCAGUUCGUUUUUUGAUAGUAAUUUUAUGGUAACGCUAUGAAUUGUCUGUUCUAGGACCUGGCACAGAUUUUCCCAUUAAAAUUUUUGACUUAUUUUAAUUCCGA
rnacentral:sRNA from 1 species